GUUGAGGGGAAUGCUGUCUGGUUCAAGAGCAUCCAUAUUUUGAUCAUCAGAUUCAGAUUGUGGCCUCAAGCCCUCAACUGAUAACAUGAUCACCUGAAAGAUAUAGUCUCUUGAUUAUUCUGGGUUUUAUAUAUAUUUAUGCUUUUGGACCAGGCUUCAUUCCCCUGAAU
rnacentral:pre_miRNA from 1 species